GGAAGUACAGCCUGAGAAACUUUGCCCAGCCUGGGACUGGCUGCCCUGCCUGCUUGUCUUGCUGCUGCUCUCGCAGGGCCUAGGGUGUGGUAUCCCCUCAGGCUUUAAAAUCCUGAUCUCUCUCCCAUGAUGGGAACACUGAAGCUCAGAGGUGAAAUAAUUGCCCCACGACCCAGAGAAGUCAAGGUUUGAAACCCCCACAUGGCCAGCCCUGCAGCCCAGACUACCGAGACCGCAGCAACUGAGUUCUCCAGUGAAUAGCAAGAAGAUGAGCGAUGGGGGUGUCAUUAUGUUGCCCAGGCUGGUCUCAAACUUCUGGCCUCAAGCGAUCCUCCUGUCUGGUCCAUGCAUUGAGCUUCCACACCGGACUUCAGAGAUUCCUUUGCUGAAGUUAUGGGGAUGGGAAAAUAAACGGCUCAGUGUUCAGAAUCUCACCAGCCAAUCAUUGAGGAUGGAGGGCCUGGAAACCUGGGAUUCGA